GUAUUGUAUUGCGUUAAACGCGGCAUACAUUCCACAAGACUUUAUUACAGUGUGUGUGUAAAGACGUAGAGCUACAGAAGGAGGACAGGGUCCCCCAGCCCAUAGAACUACAGAAGGUGCACAGGUGUGAGUGGAUGUGUAAACAGAGCGUGCACAUGCCCCCAUUUGAGGACCAGCAACAACUCGUGUCGACAGUUCAGUAAUGAUCCUUCCGCAGGUUCACCUACGGAAA
rnacentral:misc_RNA from 1 species